CAGCCGCCGCGGGAAUACGUAGGUGGCAAGCGUUGUCCGGAUUUAUUGGGCGUAAAGCGAGCGCAGGCGGUUUCUUAAGUCUGAUGUGAAAGCCCCCGGCUCAACCGGGGAGGGUCAUUGGAAACUGGGAGACUUGAGUGCAGAAGAGGAGAGUGGAAUUCCAUGUGUAGCGGUGAAAUGCGUAGAUAUAUGGAGGAACACCAGUGGCGAAGGCGGCUCUCUGGUCUGUAACUGACGCUGAGGCUCGAAAGCGUGGGGAGCAAACAGGAUUAGAUACCCGCGUAGUCCCUGUCUCUUAUAC
rnacentral:rRNA from 1 species